AUUGAACGCUGGCGGCAGGCCUAACACAUGCAAGUCGAACGAGUGGCGGACGGGUGAGUAAUGUCUGGGAAACUGCCCGAUGGAGGGUGAUAACUACUGGAAACGGUAUCUAAUACCGCAUACCAUCGGAUGUGCCCAGAUGGGAUUAGCUAGUAGGUGGGGUAACGGCUCACCUAGGCGACGAUCCCUCGCUGGUCUGAGAGGAUGACCAGCACCACGGGAACUGAGACAGGGUCAAGACUCUGACGGGAGGCAGCGGUGGGGAAUAUUGCACAAGGGGGGAAAGCCUGAGGCAGCCAGGCCGGGGGGAUGAAGAGGGCCUUCGGGUGGAAAAGUACUUUAAGCGAGGAGGCGGUACUCGCAGAAGAAGCACCGGCUAACUACGUGCCAGCCGCCGCGGUAAUUC
rnacentral:rRNA from 1 species